AUGCACUGCUCCCACCGCCGGCCGACAACUGCCACACCGCAGGAAUCUUGCGCCCACCGGGGCGAGACCCUGCAGAGACAGAGCCCCACAAACAGCUCACCUGAGAAGCGGAACGCCAUGGUGCCAGCGGGCUCUGUCCCGGUGUCUCGAACCCGCGCCGCGGACUGCCUGGCCCCUCUAGGACUUGACUGCAAGCAGGCGAAGCGGAGAGAAGCUGCUGCAGCCUCCCGGCGCGAGGAGGGAGGAAGGAAGCCAAGCCGUCACCAGCGAGCCCGCGAUCUUCCUCUUUCUGAAGUGGUUACUGUGACACAGGAAAGAAAACCCUCAGUUCUAGUUUCCCCCCCCCCUCCAGGAGCUGGGCGUGGCGGACCCACUGCAGCGGUGCUGAUAAAGGCUUUGCGAAAAAGUUGAUCAAUUAUUGCACCAUGUGUGGAGGAGCUCGUACGGGCGCGGUGACGUCAUCGCCCUCCCUGCGCGUAGCAGGGACCUCAGCCGCCUGGGUUGGGGGGGGUCUCCUUUAGCUCGCUCGGCUGGUUCCCUGUGGCGUCACGCCGGGAGACCCGGGUUCGUGUUGCGGGACGAACCGGCGGAGGGCACGAGCCCGCCCGGAAACCGCGACGCUCACACGUGCAAGGAACAACAACGCCCAAGGAUGAUGGGGAUUAUGGGGCGUUUUAGGCAAACGUUUGGCUUGACCCGCUUGGUUUAGGGGCCGACCUCCUGGCCAGAGGACGAGGAGACUGGGACCCUCCAUGCAGAAUGAGGGGUGACCAAGGGGCGGCUCCAGAGGUGGAGGUGGGGGUGCAGAAAGUCACUUCCUCUCGGGAGAGGAAGUGACGUCAGGGGUGAGGGCGCGCCAAUGACGGCCGAGUCGGACGGAACUGGGCUGUUGAUUUCCUCCCCAGCUUUCGUCAUUAAACUCCAUGGAGGGAAAGGUAACAAAACAGAGGUGGGGUGGGGAGCGCCAGAAUUGUUUGGGAAACGAAUCCCAGAGAGCCUCAUCCCGCCAAAGCCAGGGUGUUUCCCCCAACAUGGCUGGGCAGCUUGCUCCACAGCCCCGUGGAUAAAGAAGAAGUGCUUCCUGUUCCUUCUCAGCUUUCCAUCCAGCCUCCCCGGCUCAAGUUGAACCCUGCCUUCUGGAGCCGUGUGCUGGGUCAGUGAAAGUGAGGAGUCUGAAUGCUGGUAUCGGCUCUCCUUGUGACCAGCCCUCUUCAAGACUGAAAAGGUCCAGUUCCUCCAGACCUGUCAGUGGAGGACUCUCCCCUUGAGCUCGGGAACGUCUCGCUGCUCCUCUUUGAGCAGGUUUCCAGAGCUGCAGAUAACGCUCCAUUUGGAUUCUGUACUUUUAACUAGGCAUCCUCAUAACUUCCGUGUCUCUUUAAUGUAUUCAAACUGUUUGUCUAGAAGAUGUGAGUCAUGUGUCAACAAACACUAAGAAGCACCAAAGUCUUUUUCACGAGUAGCUUCUGACUUCUGACUCCACCAGAGCAAUGCCCUUCACCCGCUGGUAUAUGAAUGCUGUUUUGAUGCAGAGCUUUUUCCUGGGGGUAUUUCCAGCUGGGGUCUCCUGCACUGAAGAUAUGAUUUGUGCAGAGAAGUGUAGCAGGGUACAGACACUGUCUCCCAGUGUCAGUCAGUAAGAGUCACUACUGAGGUUAGACAUCUCCUGCGCCAGGGGACCUGCAGACAAGAGAGGCUGCCCUGUUCGUGCCUGAUAAGUGAUAAGACCACAGCCAGGCAAGGAUACCCUCAAUACUCACAGCAGGA
ensembl:lincRNA